GUUAAGCGACUAAGCGUACACGGUGGAUGCCCUGGCAGUCAGAGGCGAUGAAGGACGUGCUAAUCUGCGAAAAGCGUCGGUAAGGUGAUAUGAACCGUUACAGCCGGCGAUGUCCGAAUGGGGAAACCCAGUGCAAUUCGUUGCACUAUCGUUAACUGAAUACAUAGGUUAACGAGGCGAACCGGGGGAACUGAAACAUCUAAGUACCCCGAGGAAAAGAAAUCAACCGAGAUUCCCCCAGUAGCGGCGAGCGAACGGGGAGCAGCCCAGAGUCUGAAUCAGCUUGUGUGUUAGUGGAACGGUCUGGAAAGUCCGACGGUACAGGGUGAUAGUCCCGUACACCAAAAUGCACAGGCUGUGAACUCGAAGAGUAGGGCGGGACACGUGGUAUCCUGUCUGAAUAUGGGGGGACCAUCCUCCAAGGCUAAAUACUCCUGACUGACCGAUAGUGAACCAGUACCGUGAGGGAAAGGCGAAAAGAACCCCGGCGAGGGGAGUGAAAAAGAACCUGAAACCGUGUACGUACAAGCAGUGGGAGCACCUUCGGGUGUGACUGCGUACCUUUUGUAUAAUGGGUCAGCGACUUAUAUUCUGUAGCAAGGUUAACCGUAUAGGGGAGCCGCAGGGAAACCGAGUCUUAACUGGGCGUUAAGUUGCAGGGUAUAGACCCGAAACCCGGUGAUCUAGCCAUGGGCAGGUUGAAGGUUGGGUAACACUAACUGGAGGACCGAACCGACUAAUGUUGAAAAAUUAGCGGAUGACUUGUGGCUGGGGGUGAAAGGCCAAUCAAACCGGGAGAUAGCUGGUUCUCCCCGAAAGCUAUUUAGGUAGCGCCUCGUGAAUUCAUCUUCGGGGGUAGAGCACUGUUUCGGCUAGGGGGUCAUCCCGACUUACCAACCCGAUGCAAACUACGAAUACCGAAGAAUGUUAUCACGGGAGACACACGGCGGGUGCUAACGUCCGUCGUGAAGAGGGAAACAACCCAGACCGCCAGCUAAGGUCCCAAAGUCACAGUUAAGUGGGAAACGAUGUGGGAAGGCACAGACAGCCAGGAUGUUGGCUUAGAAGCAGCCAUCAUUUAAAGAAAGCGUAAUAGCUCACUGGUCGAGUCGGCCUGCGCGGAAGAUGUAACGGGGCUAAACUGUGCACCGAAGCUGCGGCAGCGACACUAUGUGUUGUUGGGUAGGGGAGCGUUCUGUAAGCCUGCGAAGGUGGCCUGUGAGGGUUGCUGGAGGUAUCAGAAGUGCGAAUGCUGACAUAAGUAACGAUAAUGCGGGUGAAAAGCCCGCACGCCGGAAGACCAAGGGUUCCUGUCCAACGUUAAUCGGGGCAGGGUGAGUCGACCCCUAAGGCGAGGCCGAAAGGCGUAGUCGAUGGGAAACAGGUUAAUAUUCCUGUACUUGGUGUUACUGCGAAGGGGGGACGGAGAAGGCUAUGUUAGCCGGGCGACGGUUGUCCCGGUUUAAGCAUGUAGGCGGAGGUUCCAGGUAAAUCCGGUACCUUUUUAACGCUGAGGUGUGAUGACGAGGCACUACGGUGCUGAAGUAACAAAUGCCCUGCUUCCAGGAAAAGCCUCUAAGCAUCAGGUAACAUUGAAUCGUACCCCAAACCGACACAGGUGGUCAGGUAGAGAAUACCAAGGCGCUUGAGAGAACUCGGGUGAAGGAACUAGGCAAAAUGGUGCCGUAACUUCGGGAGAAGGCACGCUGAUAUGUAGGUGAAGCCCCUGCGGGUGGAGCUGAAAUCAGUCGAAGAUACCAGCUGGCUGCAACUGUUUAUUAAAAACACAGCACUGUGCAAACACGAAAGUGGACGUAUACGGUGUGACGCCUGCCCGGUGCCGGAAGGUUAAUUGAUGGGGUUAUCCGUAAGGAGAAGCUCUUGAUCGAAGCCCCGGUAAACGGCGGCCGUAACUAUAACGGUCCUAAGGUAGCGAAAUUCCUUGUCGGGUAAGUUCCGACCUGCACGAAUGGCGUAAUGAUGGCCAGGCUGUCUCCACCCGAGACUCAGUGAAAUUGAACUCGCUGUGAAGAUGCAGUGUACCCGCGGCAAGACGGAAAGACCCCGUGAACCUUUACUAUAGCUUGACACUGAACAUUGAGCCUUGAUGUGUAGGAUAGGUGGGAGGCUUUGAAGCGUGGACGCCAGUCUGCGUGGAGCCAACCUUGAAAUACCACCCUUUAAUGUUUGAUGUUCUAACGUUGGCCCCUGACCGGGGUUGCGGACAGUGUCUGGUGGGUAGUUUGACUGGGGCGGUCUCCUCCCAAAGAGUAACGGAGGAGCACGAAGGUUAGCUAAUCCUGGUCGGACAUCAGGAGGUUAGUGCAAUGGCAUAAGCUAGCUUGACUGCGAGCGUGACGGCGCGAGCAGGUGCGAAAGCAGGUCAUAGUGAUCCGGUGGUUCUGAAUGGAAGGGCCAUCGCUCAACGGAUAAAAGGUACUCCGGGGAUAACAGGCUGAUACCGCCCAAGAGUUCAUAUCGACGGCGGUGUUUGGCACCUCGAUGUCGGCUCAUCACAUCCUGGGGCUGAAGUAGGUCCCAAGGGUAUGGCUGUUCGCCAUUUAAAGUGGUACGCGAGCUGGGUUUAGAACGUCGUGAGACAGUUCGGUCCCUAUCUGCCGUGGGCGCUGGAGAAUUGAGGGGGGCUGCUCCUAGUACGAGAGGACCGGAGUGGACGCAUCACUGGUGUUCGGGUUGUCAUGCCAAUGGCAUUGCCCGGUAGCUAAAUGCGGAAGAGAUAAGUGCUGAAAGCAUCUAAGCACGAAACUUGCCCCGAGAUGAGUUCUCCCUGAGACUUUAAGUCUCCUGAAGGAACGUUAAAGACGAUGACGUUGAUAGGUCGGGUGUGUAAGCGUAGCGAUACGUUGAGCUAACCGAUACUAAUGAACCGUGAGGCUUAACC
rnacentral:rRNA from 1 species